AUUGAACGCUGGCGGCAUGCCUUACACAUGCAAGUCGAACGGUAACGGGCCUUCGGGUGCCGACGAGUGGCGAACGGGUGAGUAAUAUAUCGGAACGUACCUUUCAGUGGGGGAUAACGUAGCGAAAGUUACGCUAAUACCGCAUAUUCUGUGCGCAGGAAAGCAGGGGACCUUCGGGCCUUGCGCUGAUUGAGCGGCCGAUAUCAGAUUAGCUAGCUGGUGAGGGCAAGGCUCACCAAGGCGACGAUCUGUAGCGGGGCUGAGAGCAUGAUCCGCCACACUGGAACGGAGACACGGUCCAGACUCCUGCGGGAGGCAGCAGUGGAGAAUUUUGGACAAUGGGGGCAACGCUGAUCCAGCCAUGCGGCGUGAGUGAAGAAGGCCUGCGGGUUGUAAAGCUCUUUCGGCCUGGAAGAAAUCGUAUGGGCUAAUACCCGGUGCGGAUGACGGUACCGGCAUAAGAAGCACCGGCUAACUACGUGCCAGCCGCCGCGGUAAAAC
rnacentral:rRNA from 1 species